AUUGAACGCUGGCGGCAGGCCUAACACAUGCAAGUCGAACGAGUGGCGGACGGGUGAGUAAUGUCUGGGAAACUGCCUGAUGGAGGGGGAUAACUACUGGAACCGGUAGCUAAUACCGCAUACCAUCAGAUGUGCCCAGAUGGGAUUAGCUUGUUGGUGGGGUAAAGGCUCCCCAAGGCGACGAUCCCUAGCUGGUCUGAGAGGAUGACCAGCAACACGGGAACUUAGCCCCGGUCCACACCCCUAUGGGAGGCAGCAGUGGGGAAUAUGGCACAAUGGGCGCAAGCUUGAUGCAGCCAUGCCGCGGGUAUGAAGAAGGCCUGCGGGUUGUAAAGUAUUUCAAGCGGGGAGGCGUGACCCGCAGAAGAAGCACCGGCUACCCCCGUGCCAGCAGCCGCGGUAAUC
rnacentral:rRNA from 1 species